GUGCGUUCGACGUUUAAUGUUGACAGAAACAACACCUCUCUUUUUAGUAUUUCUUAUCAGAUUGCCCCAUACAUGUUUAUUCUGAAAAUGAAUUGGAUGUACUUUUUAAUUUCAACAAUAUGAUGCAACUUCGGCAGAUUGUCGAAAUGAGUUCAUGAGUGCGUUUGGAUCCUGUUAUCACUUCGGAAAUGUAUCGAUGACGUUCAUUGAAGCGGAGCGUUAUUGUCGAGAACAUGGCGGACAUCUGGUUCACAUCGACUCAGCUCAAGAGAACAACUACAUAAACACUAUGCUGUUGCACUAACAUGUAGGUAUCAGAAUUGCAAAAGAAAACACCAUUUAGUUCAUGAGUAAAAAUUGUGUACGUUAAGACAAAUCGUGAAAAGCCGUAUUGGAUUAAAACGAUUAACCAAAUAUACUUACGACGUAUAUACCGUCCAAAAAUAAAGGGGGAUUAACAGUGGUAGUGGAAUCACCUCAGUCGUCUGUUCGUCAGUCUGUUCGUGUGUCUGUACAAUUAACCUUGUUAAAAAUAUGUUGCUACAUUGUGUUUGUACAAAGUUCAAACGUGUU